UGAGGAAUAUUGGACAAUGGAGGCAACUCUGAUCCAGCCAUGCCGCGUGAAGGACUAAGGCCCUAUGGGCUGUAAACUUCUUUAGACGCAGAGCAAUAAGGGCCACGCGUGGUCCGAUGAGAGUAUGCGUAGAAUAAGCAUCGGCUAACUCCGUGCCAGCAGCCGCGGUAAUACGGGGGGAUGCGAGCGUUAUCCGGAUUCAUUGGGUUUAAAGGGUGCGUAGGCGGCUUUGCAAGUCAGCGGUGAAAGGCCCGGGCUCAACCCGGAAAGUGCCGUUGAUACUGUGAGGCUGGAAUGCGGAUGCUGUGGGAGGAAUGAGUGGUGUAGCGGUGAAAUGCGUAGAUAUUAGGAGGAACACCAGUGGCGAAGGCGACU
rnacentral:rRNA from 1 species